rnacentral:tRNA from 1 species
UAGAGCGCACCCCUGAUAAGGGUGAGGUCGGCAGUUCGAAUCUGCCCAGACCCACCAAUUUUGUUUGGAAGCACC